rnacentral:snRNA from 1 species
UUGUUUUUUGACAAGUUCUAAGAAAAUCAUUUGAUUUUAAAUUUACGGUGGCACCGCGCUCAAAGCGCCCGUAGGACUUUUUAUAGUUCUAUGGGUGCUUUUUUU